AUUGAACGCUGGCGGCAGGCUUAACACAUGCAAGUCGAGCGGGGUGAUGGUGCUUGCACUAUCACUUAGCGGCGGACGGGUGAGUAAUGCUUAGGAAUCUGCCUAUUAGUGGGGGACAACAUUUCGAAAGGAAUGCUAAUACCGCAUACGUCCUACGGGAGAAAGCAGGGGAUCUUCGGACCUUGCGCUAAUAGAUGAGCCUAAGUCGGAUUAGCUAGUUGGUGGGGUAAAGGCCUACCAAGGCGACGAUCUGUAGCGGGUCUGAGAGGAUGAUCCGCCAAAUUGGGACUGAGACACGGCCCAGACUCCUCAGGGAGGCAGGAGUGGGGAAUAUUGGACAAUGGGCGGAAGCCUGAUCCAGCCAUGCGGCGUGUGUGAAGAAAGCCUUAUGGUUGUAAAGCACUUUAAGCGAGGAGGAGGCUACUCUAGUUAAUACCUAGAGAUAGUGGACGUUACUCGCAGAAUAAGCACCGGCUAACUCUGUGCCAGCAGCCGCCGUAACAC
rnacentral:rRNA from 1 species